AAACCCUGUCUCAAAAAACAAAACAAACAAACAAAAAGAAAUCCUUAAAAUUAUUUAGUUUCCCAUUUUAUAUCCUAAAUAUGGCCAGGAAGAAGGGCCCCUUUACUGUGGAGUCUAGAAAGUGGACAUUCAUGUCAUAUGUCCUGGCAGUCUGUGAAAGACGGGUUAGGUUGACUAGGUUUAGGGACAGAGACUCUUUGCAGAUGUUAGUGAACAUAGCAUCUAAAUUCUUAAGAGAUGCCAUUCAAAGGCCAGUGCACAUAUCCUUUUGACUAGUUUAAUUCACCCAUAUGGAUCAUCUCUGUUGUUAUUUGAUUGACUUCACUUCAGCCCCGGAGAGGGUCUUCAGCAUGAGGGAUUUCAUAGUCAUGCGUCAGAGAAAUGAACAACUAAGAUCAGAGUAAGAAGGGACUAUAGGGUUGACAUUACAGAGCAGGGCUUGAGGAGUGGUGGCCAUGAUGCCACAAAUCUGCAGGAGAAAGGAUACAGAAGCUUCCCAGAAUUCUACAGUUGGCUGUGGUUGGGCAAACCAGAAACUUGGGGCCCAGGGGUGCUGGAUAACAUCAGCACCUUGCUUGGGUGUGUGAUUUGCACAGUGUGGCUCCUACGCCAUGUGCCUUUUAAGGAUCUGGCUGUGACCAUCUGGGUGCACACACUUCCAAUAAGGCUCAACUCACAGUGAGUGAAACAGGAAAGGGUAGCCAUCUCCUCUGUCAACAUUGUCUUGCCUGAAACCCUUGAAUGAGACUGAAGAAUUAAGCAAAAGCAUUCUCUUUCUUACAGCCCUACCUUGUCUCAGCAGAUGUAAGCAUCGGUAGGUACAGUUAAAUCAUCACUCUUUUAAACAACCUACAAACUGGCAGCUCCGACGAGGCUCUGAAUUACACGUGUAAGUGAAGAGCCAGCAGAUGGCGCCCUUUGUCGUUUAUUGACGCUUUUACCCACAUAGAGGAGUGUUUGGCGUGGCUUCUUUCAUUUGGGUAGUACAAGUAGUGUUUUCAACUGUUUAUUAUGCAUGAGCCAAAAUUCCAUGAAUGUGUAACAUUUUCUCCCGUAUUUCCCUUUUUAUAACAUCAUUUAAAUUCCUUAUUAAUAAUUUAAAAAUGUUCUGGAUUUUAAUCACUUUUCUCAUCACUAAAAUAUCUGAUGAAGAGAUAGGGUUUUUUUUUUCCCCUGCUGAAGGUGAGAUAGAGGAAAUCAGCAAGGAAGGAAGAAGAAACUCUCACUCUUAAAUUGAGCUCACCACCCCCUCGAGUGCAUCACCCCAUCUUUUCAGUUUAAUUGAAUAGUAUUUAUUUAAUUAAUAAAAAUAUCUGUCUAGUACAGGUUUCAGAAAUUCAAGGCUAGAAUAGGCUGCCAUUAAUAAAACAAGUUUUUUUUUUAUAUCCAAGUUUAAUUAUGGUGGUGUGUGUUUGAUAGCUUGUUACUGUAAAUAAAAGAGAUAAAGGCAGCCCUUCUCUGGAGUAGCUGGAGAGCUGUGAAAUAUGUACCUAAUUAAAACUAUUGGUGUAAGAGGCUAAUAAAGUACAUGUGCCUACUAGAUGUCUUAUUCUAAUGAAUCUCGGCUAAUUUGCUUUGACUGAUGAAUUUCAGUGUUAGUGGUAGGGGCUGAAUAAUUAUGAAAUUUAUCACAAGAUACAAGGACUCAUUAAGGAUUACUCAGGUUGAGUAAGAGGAAUGUUUUCUUUGUCAAGAACACAGGCCUUGACCGACACAAUUACAGCAAUCCAGAGUGGCCGGAUUCCAGACCAGCCCCAAGUGAGGGUUCAAGGCCAGGAUGGGGCUUGUGUUUCCAGAUGAGGUGGGCUGUACGGUGAGGCUGAAGACUGUGUGUCGCCUCUGGAAGAGACACUUCUGUGGUGCUCAGGGCUACAUUUUAAAGAGAAAUGUUCCAAGCACACAGCCCGUCACAUAUGUGGUUCUGAUGGCGGCACUUCCCUUCCCAUGAGGAAAAUGGACAAGAAAGGUACAUUCCCUUCAGGAGAGAAAAUGCCACUGUGAUUCAGGACUAUGCAAAGAAGGUAACUUGUGAACCUUCCCUUCACCAUCUCCCUUUCCUCCUCAAAAGAAGCAAUUGCCAAAAGAAACAAUCACAGGUAAUACAUAGUACUGACUGUGUCCAACGUAUGUUUACGUUGUUACAUAACUCUCACAAUGACCCUAAGAGUAGCAAUAUCUUAUCUGAAUUUUACAAAAUAAGGAACUUUUGCAUGUGAGCUCUAAAAUCCUCAGAGUAUUUGUCUUACCAGGACAGUAAGCAAUACAAUCAGUCUCCACCUCAGGUCUUUCUGUCUGUCUGUAGAAUCAUCACACAAUGUCAUCUUUUUGUUGGAACAUGUGCAGUGUUACCUUGAGAACCUUCUAGAACUUUACCAUGGUUUUGACUUUUCCAUUUAGGCGAAAAUGACCUCUGACUCUAAUACAAAUGAAUGUCAGAGCUGUCAAUUCAAAGGAAGACAUAUGCGGUUAGCAUCUAGUCGGAAGGCUUUGGUCAAGGAACUAUGGGCAUGCAGGAGGCAGGACACAAGCUGAAAACCGAGGCUGGGGGUCAGCAGUGGCAAGGCCACUACUUUACCAUUGGUUUUCUUUCAUCUUGAAUCCAUUGUCUAUAAAUUCAGGCUGGUUGAGCAGUUCAGAUGGCAAAGGAUAUGAAGCUAUAUUGAGGGACCUGGUAUAUACCCUGAGUGGGUCUACCUGCUACUCUCUUGAAACCACAUCGCCUCCCAGCCAUGAUUUAUAUACACUGCCUUGUUCUUUAUGGCUUCCUGAGUUAGUUAUUUCAGACUAAAUCUGUGUGUUAUAAGCCUCAGCGUGCAUGAUUUCUUAGGUUUUUAAUUACAAAAUGUAGUUUUGACCUAUUAAAUCAUGUGUGAGGUAAAUUUACCAUAAUAAAGCCUUAUUAAUCCCCUACAAUUAAGAAUUUACAGUUCUUUGCUGAACUUUUUAUUGAAUUUCCCAUGAGGACCUUCGCACAACUGAUUGCUAAGAAACUUUCUAGCCUAUAACCAGCUAGCCCACAGAGCAGAAGCAGGGCAGGAUAGCAUUUAGAAAAAUCACUUCAUACCUGGAGCCAGACUUCCUGUCUCUGGAAACAGUGUCUCAUUGAGGGCUAUGGUAACCCUGUAAGGUCACCCCUGUGCUUCCUGUUUUAUAGGUGGAGAAACUGAGGUAUGGAAUGUGAUAUAACUGAAGGUCACACGGCUUUCCCAUGGCUUCAGCCAGGUCAUCAGGCUCCAAAACACACGUUCCAAGUCAGAGUCGCCUCUGCUCCUCUCUAUGAUAAUUACAAACACACAGUGUAUUUACUGCUCUUCCAGCUCUGUUCUCCGCUAGUAUAUAUUUAUUACUAUUUAUUUAGCUCAUUAAUUCUCGUAACAAGUCUAUGAGGGGGUUGCCAUUUAUCAGGCCCCUUUUAUAGGUGAGAAAACAGAAGCAUAGAAAGGUCGCACAGCCUACUGAAGGGUCUAUGAUCUGUGAGCGGCUGAACCAGGCAUGUGCCCAUGUGGUGGGCUGCACAUCUCCGAUCCACAGCUCCACCCGACAGCACCCUAUGCUCUCCAUGUCUCCCAUCUCCCCGAACCACCCUAAACCUCAGCAGAGACCGCCAGCCUGUGCACACAGACUGCAUGGCUUUGCUCUGACCUCACUCUACUCUCUCCAUUCUCUUGGCCUGUAGAAGGAAGGCUUUGGGGCUCUGGGUGCAGACAGGCUUGAUUCCUGUCUGUGCUGUUCCUUAGCUUCGUUGUCUGGACAAUGGAGCAGACUCCCUCUUGGUGGUGCUCUGAGGAUUUUCGGGCAGGAUGCAUGUCAAAGGCAGCUCCAGGAAGUGUUCAUUCUGAGAGUGGAAGCCCCUUCCAUCUCCGUCUCAAAGCGACAGUCUCCCUCCCUGUAAAGCCCUUCUGCAGACAGUUUGAUCAGCUGCCCUGUGAGUCUACAAAGGCUUCUGUGCACACGACUCUCUCUAGCCUUUGUCACCACAUUCUUUGUGCCAUGGUCACUUCUGAGUAUGUCUGUCUCCUCACAGGGUUCUGAGGUUCUAAGGGUAAAAGACUAUAUCUCAUCUCCACGUCUCCGUAUCCAAGCCCAGGGCCUUGGGCAUUCAAGCUCUUAAAAUUUUUUAACGAAUCAAAUUAGAAAGCAACACAUUAGUAUUGUUGGCUCCGCUUUGAAAAUGCGCACGGUAUGCUCCAAGGUCUCUCAGGAAAGUUGGGAGUUACUUCCUCUAUACAGCCACACCCCCCUGUCUGUUGCUCCUCUCUGCUGCUCACACUCUCAGAGGCCUUUCUCACUGGCACUUUCUUUUCUCAGUGAGAUUCAGUUGAUGACAGCAUGUCCGAAGAGGCCUCUAGGUGGGGUCCUGGGGCAGAUUCUGUGGCUGACUGGAGUAGCCCUCUGCUAUGACCUAGGAGUUUGUGUCGCUCCAAAAUGAACCAUAGAAACCCAACCCCUCAAAGUGACGCUAUCAGAAGGUGGGUCCUUCGGCAGUGGUUAGGUCAUGAGAGCAGGGCCCUUAGGCAUCGAUUAGUGCCCUUAUAAAAGAGACCCCAGAGAGCUGUCUCCUUUCUUCAACCGUGGAAGGACAUAGCCACAACUGCCUUGAUCCUGAACUUUGAUGCCUCUAGAACAUGAAGACUAAUUUCUAUUGUUUAUAAACCAUCAGGCUAUGAUUUUUUUCAUAAUCUUGCAAAUGAACUGAGACACUUUUCAUCAUCCACGGGGAGGAGGGUAGAUGGAGACUUGCCUGUCUUCUAAGUCGCCUUUGGAUGAUAUGAUCUUCAGAGCCAAAUCCUGGCCUACAAUGUUGGGUUAAGAGCACAGGCUUCCAGAGUGUUCUAGAUGAAUGGGCUACACCAUCAAAGGCCCUGUUCGUGGUCUCAGCCCCAUGUGACAUUCCUCCAAUGGCAGCUUCAUAGAGGAAAAGGCCUGCAGACCUGGGGCUAGAGUUUAACAUCUUUGACCUUGGAUCUAGAUAUUGUUAGGAGGUGACAGGGUGGUGACUGCAUUGGCAAAGAGACCCAGGACAUGAGAGAAUGAGAUAGAGAAGAUAGGCAUGAUCUAGGGAUAUCCUGAGAGCCCUGUGUUUCUUUGCCAUGGCUGAGGCUCCUGCUGGAUAUAUGGUUGGUGACCAAAGGCCACCAGCCAGAGAAUACAUUCCUCCAUUAAGAAGCAGAGAUGAGCAGGAAGCUUUGUCCAUGAAAAAUCCGAUUCGGGGCCCACAUAUUUAGACUUUCAUUCUGAUUUCUAGGAGCUAGCUCAGAGGCCCUGUGCGGGUUCUCUGUGUGUCUCACUUCCCGCACCUGUAAGACGGGACAUAAAUAAUGAUGCCUCACGAGGUUCCCAGAAGGAUUAACUAAGUUCUUCUAUAGUAAGUAUCCACCAGACAGCCAUUCUUAUGAAGUGAGACCACCCCAGCGAUUCCUGGCAUCUCUGCCUGGAUCCCACUGCAGAGAGCAGCAGACAUAUAGAAACAACCAUGUGGGGUCAGCCUGGCUAGGACGCCGGUCUAUAGUCUACACAGCCUCACAAGAUUAUUCUGGAAAAAUCUAACUCAAAAUGCAAUGUGAUUCAACCCUCCUUAAUUUAAGGGGAAUAAACCUAAAUGACAACCAGAUGUCUUGAUACAGGUGCAUAGGUAAGACCACAAAGCUGAGGAAGUAUCAUGUGGAGUUUCCAGCCUGGACUUCAUGGCUUGUGGCCAGUGGGCACCUUCCCAGGGGUCUAAGGAGUAGCAGGCUUUGUGAACCAUUUCUCAGCCAAUUGUAAUCACUGUCCUUGGGUCUGGUGGCUGAAGGAAGAGGUGUCUGUCAGCUGGCAGAUGGAUUGCACGUUACUUCUGGGUGAGGACAAUUUCUGGGCACUUAGUGAACUUGAACUAUUUUUCUUCUCCUGAACGCUCAUCUCCUUAGCAAGAUAAGUCUUUGUUUCUUCUCAGGCCGGGCUUAGCCCCAGCCUCCCUGCUAGGAGUGUUCCCCUCCCCCACCCCUUCCAUCUUCUCUGGUUCCUAUCAGGGGAUAGGCAGUGAUUGAAAUUAUUGAUUCAAUCAGUUUAUUCUCCUGCCGAGUUGCUUCGUUGCUGGAUCACUGAUUUAGGUUGGGCCUCAGCACAGCCCACUGGCUGCCUCUGCUUAGUGCCAGGGGCAAUUGGAACUGCAGCACCUCCUGGAGUGUCAUCAAUGCAGACCUGAGGAGGACUUGACUGAGAAGACAGCAGCUUCUCUGACUGCAGAACCCCUUAGCACAGUCCUGUUCACCAGAAAUCAAACCACACUCUCAAGGUUCCCUCAAACCUGGGUGGUGAGCUGGUAUGAGAAGCCUCUCGGAUCGGUCCUUCCUGGAAGAAUCUGGAGCCACAAGAAUGAAGAUGCUGCUGUUUCUUAAGGGAUAAUAAAGGCGUCAUUGAGAAGCAGUUUGGGCAGCCCUCAUUCAUUUUACAGGGAUUCUGUGUAGCCGAAGUAAUGCGCAUGGAUAUUGCGUAACAUUCUGUGGAUGGAUACAAUAUUAUAGAAAUAAUUUAAUUGACGACCUGUAAUGAGAAGAGCGUGGGGUUACUGGAUGAUGGCUAUGUGACAUCAGCAGAGUCUUCCCAAACCAACAGACACAGUGCAGCAUUAUCCUGAGUGAAUUUUACAUCAGAAUUAUUUCUUGGGGCUAUUUUCUGUAAUUGUUUGAACAACUCUAUUAAAGCAUCAGUGCCCUUCAAGAACUUCUAUGUGUUUGCCGUUUUGUGUGUUUAGGAUGAGCACAAAUAAAAGAGGGACCUGGGGUUCCUCUCUCAGACCAGCACUUUGGGAGACCACCCAGAGACCUUGCUACCUGCAUGAGAAAGGACCGCUUAGACUAAGGAUGCAGAAAUAAAGACUACCCAGAGGUGGCGCUGUGGUUAAAGUACACCUGGAUUUUGAUUAAGGCGAGUGGAUCACUUCCUACCCUUUGGAGAAGAUGGUAGCCUCUACCACCUUUGCAUUUCUAUAACCACAAUCAUCAGUAAAUACAGCUUUCUGGUGAUAUAUUCCCACCCUCUCCACUUCACUGGAGUAUGUGUGCUGACUUCACAUACAAUUAGAACCAAAACAGUAAAACCACCACUGAAAGCAUAGGCCCUGUGUAGCCUGGAGACACAGGUUCAAAGUUCCAGCAUUCUCUCUUUUC